UUCAUAUCAGCCUCAGNNNNNNNNNNNNNNNNNNNNNNNNNNNNNNNNNNNNNNNNNNNNNNNNNNNNNNNNNNNNNNNNNNNNNNNNNNNNNNNNNNNNNNNNNNNNNNNNNNNNUACAGCAAUCAUCCCUCCCCAGGUAUAGUCUACAUACAGCAAUCAUCCCUCCCCAGGUAUAGUCUACAUACAGCAAUCAUCCCUCCCCAGGUAUAGUCUACAUACAGCAAUCAUCCCUCCCCAGGUAUAGUCUAUAUACAGCAAUCAUCCCUCCCCAGGUAUAGUCUAUAUACAGCAAUCAUCCCUCCCCAGGUAUAGUCUAUAUACAGCAAUCAUCCCUCCCCAGGUAUAGUCUACAUUCGUACAGCAAUCAUCCCUUCCCAGGUAUAGUCUACAUACGUACAGCAAUCAUCCCUCCCCAGGUAUAGUCUAUAUACAGCAAUCAUCCCUUCCCAGGUAUAGUCUAUAUACAGCAAUCAUCCCUUCCCAGGUAUAGUCUACAUUCAUACAGCAAUCAUCCCUUCCCAGGUAUAGUCUAUAUACAGCAAUCAUCCCUUCCCAGGUAUAGUCUACAUUCAUACAGCAAUCAUCCCUCCCCAGGUAUCGUCUACAUACAUACAUACAUACAUACAUACAUACAUACAUACAUACAUACAUACAUACAUACAUACAUACAUACAGCAAUCAUCCCUCCCCAGCUGUAGUCUACGUACAGUAAUCAGUUUUUCACAGCUUUAGCUCCUCUAAAUAUGAGUGGCUUGUUGGUUAAAUUCACGGCAUCAAAUGAAAGAGAGGUGAAGAGGAGAAAGAAGUGCCUAGUCAAUAUCUCCGGCAGCAGACAUAUGCAGUUUCAUUUUCUGCUUAUUAAUGAUUUAAGGGCUGGUUAGUCUGCUGCCUGAGGCAGGAGGAGAAGGGGGNNNNNNNNNNNNNNNNNNNNACGCUGAGCCUACGGAGCAUGCCCAGUAUGAGAAGCACCCUGAGUCACGCCUCAAAGGUGAAAAGGUCACGGGGGUUCCCGAAGAGACACACCAUCCCCGAGCUCAGACUGCCCCCUGUUACUAAGAUUCAUCCUGACCCCAGAGCCAGUCUGGAAUUGAGGGGAACUGGCUACCUGGGAUGUUCCAGACUUCCACCCAUCAUCAAAUCUACCAGAACCCAUGAGCCUCUGCACCAGGAGAGACCCCCAGGUCCAGCUGGGUACAGGUUCGAUACCUUUCUCCAUGUAGGUUCUAACUAAUUACUCACAACCCAAUGUGAGGGAGAGGAGCUACUCACACAGUAAAUCUACAGGGGCGUCAGGACACAGGACCCCGCCUCAGUACUGCUAAUAAUGGAGUCUCACGCUUCUCCCUCCCCAGGUAUAGUCUACAUACAGCAAUCAUCCCUCCCCAGGUAUAGUCUACAUACAGCAAUCAUCCCUCCCCAGGUAUAGUCUACAUACAGCAAUCAUCCCUCCCCAGGUAUAGUCUACAUACAGCAAUCAUCCCUUCCCAGGUAUAGUCUACAUACGUACAGCAAUCAUCCCUCCCCAGGUAUAGUCUAUAUACAGCAAUCAUCCCUUCCCAGGUAUAGUCUAUAUACAGCAAUCAUCCCUUCCCAGGUAUAGUCUACAUUCAUACAGCAAUCAUCCCUUCCCAGGUAUAGUCUAUAUACAGCAAUCAUCCCUCCCCAGGUAUAGUCUACAUUCGUACAGCAAUCAUCCCUUCCCAGGUAUAGUCUACAUAUACAGCAAUCAUCCCUCCCCAGGUAUAGUCUAUAUACAGCAAUCAUCCCUUCCCAGGUAUAGUCUAUAUACAGCAAUCAUCCCUUCCCAGGUAUAGUCUACAUUCAUACAGCAAUCAUCCCUUCCCAGGUAUAGUCUAUAUACAGCAAUCAUCCCUUCCCAGGUAUAGUCUACAUUCAUACAGCAAUCAUCCCUCCCCAGGUAUCGUCUACAUACAUACAUACAUACAUACAUACAUACAUACAUACAUACAUACAUACAUACAUACAUACAUACAUACAGCAAUCAUCCCUCCCCAGCUGUAGUCUACGUACAGUAAUCAGUUUUUCACAGCUUUAGCUCCUCUAAAUAUGAGUGGCUUGUUGGUUAAAUUCACGGCAUCAAAUGAAAGAGAGGUGAAGAGGAGAAAGAAGUGCCUAGUCAAUAUCUCCGGCAGCAGACAUAUGCAGUUUCAUUUUCUGCUUAUUAAUGAUUUAAAGGCUGGUUAGUCUGCUGCCUGAGGCAGGAGGAGAAGGGGGAAGCAGGGCGGAAAGAGGGGGAGGCAGGGGGAGAGGAGCUCUGCAACAUUCAUUUGUCUAUCUGGUGAGAGAAAGAGGGAGAGAGCAGUUGGAGAGAGAGGUUAAGAGCCUGAGCGAAACUGGAGAGUUGUGAGGGCCAUGCAGUUUACACACACAUACAGACACACACACACACACACACACACACACACACACACACACACACACACACACACACACACACACACACACACACACACACCACAAUCACUUCUAGCAUGGAACCCAGUUGGACUAAUAAAAUGGGCGUAAAGUGGCUCAAUAUGAAAUGAAAAGGAAGUGCUUCUGGAAUGCAAACAGCCAAUACGGAGGGCGAGCUUUCUGUCAAACAGCCAAUACGGAGGGCUAGCUUUCUGUCAAACAGCCAAUACGGAGGGCUAGCUUUCUGUCAAACAGCCAAUACGGAGGGCUAGCUUUCUGUCGAACAGCCAAUACGGAGGGCUAGCUUUCUGUCAAACAGCCAAUACGGAGGGCUAGCUUUCUGUCAAACAGCCAAUACGGAGGGCUAGCUUUCUGUCAAACAGCCAAUACGGAGGGCUAGCUUUCUGUCAAACAGCCAAUACGGAGGGCCAGCUUUCUGUCAAACAGCCAAUACGGAGGGCUAGCUUUCUGUCAAACAGCCAAUACGGAGGGCUAGCUUUCUGUCAAACAGCCAAUACGGAGGGCCAGCUUUCUGUCAAACAGCCAAUACGGAGGGCCAGCUUUCUGUCAAACAGCCAAUACGGAGGGCUAGCUUUCUGUCAAACAGCCAAUACGGAGGGCCAGCUUUCUGUCAAACAGCCAAUACGGAGGGCCAGCUUUCUGUCAAACAGCCAAUACGGAGGGCCAGCUUUCUGUCAAACAGCCAAUACGGAGGGCUAGCUUUCUGUCAAACAGCCAAUACGGAGGGCUAGCUUUCUGUCAAACAGCCAAUACGGAGGGCCAGCUUUCUGUCAAACAGCCAAUACGGAGGGCUAGCUUUCUGUCAAACAGCCAAUACGGAGGGAUAGCUUUCUGUCAAACAGCCAAUACGGAGGGCUAGCUUUCUAGUAAAGCCUGAAAUGAGGUUCUUAAUUUAAUACAAUCUACAUCACCUCGGGUUUACCAGAGUGCAUUUCAUAAUGUCUCCAUUUUUGCCCCAAAUAAUUUAUUCACUAUAAGUGAUAUUGGAGUUUCGGUGUUCCUUUGAAUAAAGUUAAAAUGUCAAAGCAUCAUUAGUGGAACGAACAAACUGCUGGUGAUUCAAUAUUUUAUUGGUCUUUUAUUGAAUUGAGAUAUCCACCCCUAACACAAUAAUGAGAAGAUUCAGAACAAUUCAUAAAACAGAGGAUGGAUCUCUCCAGGGGUAUAAAACACGGAGCUUGUUUAGGAGAAUAUACUGUGCUGCUGUGUUCACUCUGCAAACUGACUCUGACAUUAAUGUCAAUGUACAACAUUUAUACUAGAAAUUACAGCCAUUUUCACAGAGAAAAUAUGAAAUCUCUUUAAACACGUUAGAAAUCAGAGCCCCUACAUGUCCUUGUUGUCUCUAUCUCUCUGAUUUGCAUGAUGGUAAGACUGAAUUCUCAGUCUCAAUUCACAUUUUGUCUAUCACCUGUUGCUGUAGGCCUGAGAAGCAGGGAGAUGUCACCCCUGGACUUCCAGAGAAGAAGGCUGUUGGUCUGAAGAAGCAGGGAGAUGUCACCCCUGGACUUCCAGAGAAGGAGGCUGUUGGUCUGAAGAAGCAGGGAGACAUUCCCCCUGGACUUCCAGAGAAGGAGGCUGUUGGUCUGAAGAAGCAGGGAGACAUUCCCCCUGGACUUCCAGAGAAGGAGGCUGUUGGUCUGACGAAGCAGGGAGACAUUCCCCCUGGACUUCCAGAGAAGGAGGCUGUUGGUCUGAAGAAGAGUUUUAAUAAUGAGGACCUCC
rnacentral:lncRNA from 8 species